AAAUUUAGAGAAUAAGAAAAAAAGAAGAAAAAAUGAAUGAAAAUUUGUAGUUCCAUCCUCCAUAACCACCACCAUCUUUAGGGAUUAAAAGGUGGUUGAAAAUGAGAAUUUGGUGGUUUUGUUGUUAGAUUUACAAGUGGACAAAAGCCCAGUGUAGUGAAGCGUUUUGUGUUGCUUUCGAUAAUGAAUGCAAAAGUGAAGUUAUCAUA